UGCCGAUACUCCGAUAAAGGAUAAACCCCUAAAAUUGCCUGCAUCGCCCUUCGUUGGAGCCCUAAACCCGCUCUAUACCAACGUCAUCUGCACAAUUGCCAUCGCACAGCAGAAUAAUGGGCGAUCGGAGGGAGAGGGAGAGGGAAAGGGAUAGGGACAGAGAUAGAGACCGGGAUCGGAAGCGAGAUCGAGACGACCGUGAUCGUCUCCGGCACCGGCACAUCGAUCAUGAUCGUGAACGAGACCGUGAUAGAGAGCGAGACCAUGACCGUGACCGUGAGCGUAAGGAAAGGAACAAACGGUCAUACACACCAGAACGAGCUCGUUCUCGCCACGAUAGGUCUCGGACUCGCUCCCCGGACCACCACCGGUCGCGUUCUAGAUCCACCGACAGGCACCGCAGGAGAAGCCACCACCGUACCCCGUCCCCUGACCAACAGCGGAAGCGUCGCAAGCACGGAGAUGAUGAUAGCCAGCGUACCGCGGCUGUAGUUUCGGAGUUUGUGGAUGAGAUUGUGAAGGAGAAACAGCAACAGAAGAACUCUAAGGAUGUAGAAAUGGUUGAACAUGAUGGUGGUGGAGAGAUGGAUGCCAGUGAAAUAGAGAUGAUGAAGAUGAUGGGCAUACCGGUUGGGUUUGAUUCAACUAAAGGGAAGCCGGUCGAAGGGAAUGAUAUAAGCGGGAUCAGAGCGGUGACUAAAAGACAGCCUCGUCAAUAUAUGAACCGCCGUGGUGGGUUCAAUCGCCCAUUGCCUGCUGAAGUGAACCGCUGAUUGAGAUGCUUGAAAACAUGACAAACUCUCAAGUCACUUGAUGCAUGAUCCCUUUCAUUGAUUCAACAAUUUUAAUGUCAUCAAUUGAUAUAUUUGUGUAUCUGAGUUGUUAGCAAACUUGAAAAAAUCACUUAUGGAUUCCUUACAUGUGUUGUGAAAUUUGUUUAAGAGAUGGUUAUGAUUAAUGCAAUUUCGCAAGCUUGUGCA